rnacentral:rRNA from 1 species
AGAGUUUGAUUCUGGCUCAGGACGAACGCUGGCGGCGUGCCUAAUACAUGCAAGUAGAACGCUGAAGGAAGGAGCUUGCUCUUUCCGGAUGAGUUGCGAACGGGUGAGUAACGCGUAGGUAACCUGCCUGGUAGCGGGGGAUAACUAUUGGAAACGAUAGCUAAUACCGCAUAACAGUAGAUAUCGCAUGAUAGCUGCUUGAAAGGUGCAAUUGCACCACUACCAGAUGGACCUGCGUUGUAUUAGCUAGUUGGUGAGGUAACGGCUCACCAAGGCAACGAUACAUAGCCGACCUGAGAGGGUGAUCGGCCACACUGGGACUGAGACACGGCCCAG